rnacentral:misc_RNA from 1 species
CUUUUUGUAAGGUUAUCAAUGAUGCUAGCUGCAACUGGUUUUUGCUUCUAUGAUGUUGCUACUUUGUUAUUAUCAACUUCCUCCCUUCCCUCCCAUAAUUUUUCUCCUUUUUAUAAGGAAUUGUGGCUGGCUAUUCAUGAGCAACCUUUGCAGACGUUCUUGUGUUUGGAGAAAGCAAAGGGAAGAGGCAUACUUACUCGUAAGCAAAGGAAGGACACUGAUACUGAUUGUAUCUUUCAAAUAUCUCAAGGUUAUGUUUUCUGGCUAUUUAUAGUAAUCUUGGCUCUGUUCCUCAUUAUAGUGAUCUUUGGUUUUCUAAUUCGUGGGUGCAUGUAAAAGUUUUGCAUAUGUUGGGGAAGAUGAUGGGAGAUGUAUUUUCUUUUGGUUCUGUUUUGGCGUUUUGAUGUUAUUUGGUGCUGGCUGAAUAAUUGUUGCUGAUAUUUGGUGCUGGUAAUGAUGUUACCAAGGGGAUCUGACUCUUGCUUUCUCUUAUCAACUUAGUCAAAGUGAUGACGCC